AACAGUAGUGUACAUUUUGCCAUUGUGAACACAGUGUUUUUAAUGAAAUGCUUUUUGUCUUGCCCUUUUUGAGUUCACCAAACCAAGAUUUUCCGGAUCCCACAUUGCUGCAGCAAAGCCAAAUCUUAGUGUGGCUAGAAGACCAUCACAGGUUGACGUUCAGCCCAGUUCAGCAGUGUGUAGUGCUUCUACACCAAGCACGGCUACACAGGACCUUCAAGUUUCUGCCCCCGUCCUCACAUCCACUACGGCAGUGACCAGUUCCACAGAGCCGUCCAGCAUUGUCUCAACUGCACCUUCUGGGUCAUGGUUGCAAGCUCCAUCAGCUGUUCCACUUCCGCGCCUUUGGGCUGAAACCUUGCCACCAGAGGACCACAAGUGGAUUGCCAGCAGGCUUUUUAAAAUGGGGUCCAAAGGAAAGCCAGAGCUUCGAGACAACUUCCAGCUCUGA